rnacentral:rRNA from 1 species
CGCUGGCGGCGUGCUUAACACCUGCACGUCGGACGGAAAGGCCCUGCUUUUGUGGGGUGCUCGAGUGGCGAACGGGUGAGUAACACGUGAGUAACCUGCCCUUGACUUUGGGAUAACUUCAGGAAACUGGGGCUAAUACCGGAUAGGAGCUCCUGCUGCAUGGUGGGGGUUGGAAAGUUUCGGCGGUUGGGGAUGGACUCGCGGCUUAUCAGCUUGUUGGUGGGGUAGUGGCUUACCAAGGCUUUGACGGGUAGCCGGCCUGAGAGGGUGACCGGCCACAUUGGGACUGAGAUACGGCCCAGACUCCUACGGGAGGCAGCAGUGGGGAAUAUUGCACAAUGGGCGGAAGCCUGAUGCAGCAACGCCGCGUGCGGGAUGACGGCCUUCGGGUUGUAAACCGCUUUCGCCUGUGACGAAGCGUGAGUGACGGUAAUGGGUAAAGAAGCACCGGCUAACUACGUG